rnacentral:rRNA from 1 species
AGAGUUUGAUCAUGGCUCAGGAUGAACGCUGGCGGCGUGCCUAAUACAUGCAAGUCGAACGGAGAAUGUAGCAAUACGUUCUCAGUGGCGAACGGGUGAGUAACGCGUUGGUGACCUGCCCCGAAGUGUGGGAUAACAGUCCGAAAGGAUUGCUAAUACCGCAUGUGGUCACCGGGAUUAGAGGCCCGGUGACUAAAGGAGUAAUUCGCUUCGGGAGGGGCCUGCGUCCCAUCAGCUAGUUGGUAAGGUAAUGGCUUACCAAGGCUUCGACGGGUAGGGGACCUGAGAGGGUGGCCCCCCACAAUGGAACUGAAACACGGUCCAUACACCUACGGGUGGCAGCAGUAGGGAAUAUUGGUAAUCUGGGAAACCGGGAACCAGCAACGCCGCGUGUGCGAUGAAGGCCUUCGGGUUGUAAAGCACUUUUUGAGGGGAUGAGGAAGGACAGUACCCUCAGAAUAAGUCUCGGCUAACUACGUGCCAGCAGCCGCGGUAACACGUAGGAGACGAGCGUUAUCCGGAUUUACUGGGCGUAAAGCGCGUGCAGGCGGCUCGGCAAGUUGGAUGUGAAAGCUCCUGGCUUAACUGGGAGAGGUCGUUCAAAACUACCGGGCUUGAGGAUGGUAGAGGAAGGCGGAAUUCAGGGUGUAGUGGUGAAAUGCGUAGGUAUCCUGAGGAACUCCAGUGGCGAAAGCGGCCUUCUGGACCAUUUCUGACGCU